rnacentral:rRNA from 1 species
CACGACAUGUUAGGGGGCAGCCAAAGAUCGGUAACUUUUAAGCGCCUAUACAACUAAAUGUAGGAAAAUUGAUUAAUUGAUGGUUUUAUGAAUUAAGAUAAAGAGGGUAUUGAUAAAGAUAUUUAAUGUUUUAUAUUUUUAUAAGAAAAAAAGUUAGUUGUUAAGAAGGGAUAUAACCCCGUACUUUUUGUAUCAUGGUCUAUAGAGGUAAGUAAGUUAUCUUAAUUCCUGAAAGCUCUAGAUCUACUUAAACUAAUUGUUAUGUAAUCGUUGUAGCGCUUAAGUGUAAUGUUUAAGUAGAAGUGAAAUUCUAUUCGAAAGGGCUGGUAGCUGGUUAGGGGGAAAAUGUGUAAGUGCACAGGAGUAAGGCAGGGUUUAAAAAAUAUAAGUUUUUAAACUUUUUUACUACUAAUAUUUUUGGGGGUUAGCUCAAAAAUCAAGUUAUUUUUAAGGGUAUAAAUGGGAUUAAAUAUGUCUAAUUUUAAUAAAAUAUAAAUUAUACCUUAAGGUGAGUUGUUUUAAGUACCCGUUUAAACCUUUAAACUUUUAAGGGAAAGACUAGUAUAGAAUUAGUAUAUUAUUAGUGUGUUAGUUGUUUAAAUAGGGGGAAUAUGGUCACAAGUGUUAAGGCCAUUAUUUUCUAUUUUUAUAUAAAUGAUAACUUUUAAAAUCGAUAAAUUAUUAUAGGUAUUAUUAAUGAACUCGGCAAAUGUAUCCUGCACCUGUUUAUUAAAAACAUGGCUUCUUGGUAUUUAACUAAAAGAAGUCUAACCUGCCCGGUGGAUUAGCUCUAAACGGUUGCGGCUUGAGCCGUGUUAAGGUAGCAUAAUAAAUAGUCUCUUAAUUGGGGGAUAGAAUGAAUGGUUGAAUGAUGGGAUAGCUUUAUUAGUAAUAUAAAUAUGAAGUUUACUUUUAAGUGAAAAGGCUUAAAUUUUAUUGUUAGACGAUAAGACCCUAUUGAGCUUGAUAGUUUUUACCUACACUAUGUAAAAAUAAGUUUAGUCGGGACGGACUGGAAGAGAUGAGAUGUCUUCUUUGUCAUAUACUGAUCCAGCAGGGCUGAUAGAAAGAAGAUAGCUACCAUAGGGAUAACAGCGCAAUUCCUCCUCAGAGGUCUUAUUAAGGGGGGAGAUUGCGACCUCGAUGUUGAAUCAAGGCGAUCAUCCGGGUGUAGCAGCUUGGUUAGUGGGACUGUUCGUCCCUUAAAGUCUUAUGUUAUUUGAGUUUAGACCGGUGUGAACUAGGUCGGUCUCUAUCUGCAAUUGGGGGGGUUUUAGUACGAAAGGAAUUAGUCCCCUAGCUACGGCUAUAAGUUUAUUAUGAGUAAAGUAAUCAUGUUAGCUGAUGCAUUUUCAAUAUUUGACUAC